rnacentral:rRNA from 1 species
AUGAACGCUGGCGGCGUGCCUAAUCCAUGCAAGUCGAGCGAACAGACGAGGAGCUUGCUCCUCUGACGUUAGCGGCGGACGGGUGAGUAACACGUGGAUAACCUACCUAUAAGACUGGGAUAACUUCGGGAAACCGGAGCUAAUACCGGAUAAUAUAUUGAACCGCAUGGUUCAAUAGUGAAAGACGGUUUUGCUGUCACUUAUAGAUGGAUCCGCGCCGCAUUAGCUAGUUGGUAAGGUAACGGCUUACCAAGGCAACGAUGCGUAGCCGACCUGAGAGGGUGAUCGGCCACACUGGAACUGAGACACGGUCCAGACUCCUACGGGAGGCAGCAGUAGGGAAUCUUCCGCAAUGGGCGAAAGCCUGACGGAGCAACGCCGCGUGAGUGAUGAAGGUCUUCGGAUCGUAAAACUCUGUUAUUAGGGAAGAACAAAUGUGUAAGUAACUAUGCACGUCUUGACGGUACCUAAUCAGAAAGCCACGGCUAACUACGU